rnacentral:rRNA from 1 species
GACGAACGCUGGCGGCGUGCUUAACACAUGCAAGUCGAACGGGUCUGCCCUGUUUUUUGCGGGGUGGGUCAGUGGCGAACGGGUGAGUAACACGUGAGUAACCUGCCCCUCACUUCUGGAUAACCGCUUGAAAGGGUGGCUAAUACGGGGUGUUCUGGCUGUGCCGCAUGGUGUGGCUGGGAAAGAUUCACUUUUGUGGUGUUUUGGUGGGGGAUAGGCUCGCGGCCUAUCAGCUUGUUGGUGGGGUGAUGGCCUGCCAAGGCUUUGACGGGUAGCCGGCCUGAGAGGGUGGGCGGUCACACUGGGACUGAGAUACGGCCCAGACUCCUGCGGGAGGCAGCAGUGGGGGGUAUUGCACAAUGGGCGGAAGCCUGAUGCAGCGACGUCGCGUGAGGGAUGGAGGCCUUCGGGUUGUGAACCUCUUUCGCCGGUGAAGAAGGUCCUGCUCUUUGUGGUGGGGUUGACGGUAGCCGGGUUAUGAAGCGCCGGCUAACUACGUG